rnacentral:rRNA from 1 species
UACGUAGGGGGCAAGCGUUGUCCGGAAUCAUUGGGCGUAAAGAGCGUGUAGGCGGCCCGGUAAGUCCGCCGUGAAAGUCCAGGGCUCAACCCUGGGAUGCCGGUGGAAACUGUCGGGCUAGAGUCCGGAAGAGGCGAGUGGAAUUCCUGGUGUAGCGGUGAAAUGCGCAGAUAUCGUAAGGAAGACCAGUGGCGAAGGCGGGUCUCUGGACAGUUCCUGACGCUGAGGCGCGAAAGCGUGGGGAGCAAACAGG